CACAAAUUACGCAUCAUUCGGCUGCUUCAUAUAGUCCGAGUGCAUGUAUAAAGCACUAGAUUGACCUUUUCUCAUCGAUCAUCCUUUCAAUCUCUCUCUAGUAAUGUGCAUAUGUGUAGAAUGCAACUGCUGCAAAGCUAAAUGUAAUUGCAAGGCCGGAGAUGCCAAUUGCUCCGACUUAAUCUUAACCUUGGCCAUGCCUUCUAUUGGAGUUUUGAGGAAACGAGGACCAAAGAGGCAAUUCUGGCUCAGUGUUUGCCUGACAAUGGCACUGUUUGUCCCAGGAAGCGUCUACGCUGUCACCGUAGUCAUAUUCAAGGAGAAUAGAGGAACAAAAUAAACUGAUAUUUCUAAAUCCGCAUUUUUGCCACCUUGUGUUUUCAUCAAACUUGUAAUGUAAUUUUACGCUCUCUAUAAGUCUAAUGCAUAAAUCAUUUCAU